GUGGGGAAUUUUGGACAAUGGGCGCAAGCCUGAUCCAGCAAUGCCGCGUGCAGGAAGAAGGCCUUCGGGUUGUAAACUGCUUUUGUACGGAACGAAACGGUCCGGGUUAAUACCCUGGGCUAAUGACGGUACCGUAAGAAUAAGCACCGGCUAACUACGUGCCAGCAGCCGCGGUAAUACGUAGGGUGCAAGCGUUAAUCGGAAUUACUGGGCGUAAAGCGUGCGCAGGCGGUUUUGUAAGACAGGCGUGAAAUCCCCGGGCUCAACCUGGGAAUUGCGCUUGUGACUGCAAGGCUGGAGUGCGGCAGAGGGGGAUGGAAUUCCGCGUGUAGCAGUGAAAUGCGUAGAUAUGCGGAGGAACACCGAUGGCGAAGGCAAUCCCCUGGGCCUACACUGACGCUCAUGCACGAAAGCGUGGGGAGCAAACAGGAUUAGAUACCCCGGUAGUCC
rnacentral:rRNA from 1 species